UCACACCCCCCAACUAGCUUAUUGCUGGUCUCUAGCAAUUUAGUGUGAAAAUGAUAAAAUGAGAGUGCAAAAGUAUUGUUUAUUAAUAUGCAUGAAUUAAAAUAAAUACUCACUUUCGUAGAGCAUUACGAUUGCACUUAGCACGUGCAACAAGCCGUUAAACCCCUAGGUUACCCUAGUGGACGAGUGUUGUCUCGUGAGGGUUUGCAGUGAUGUUACCCACAAACAUCGUUUUUAAGUUAGAAGAUACUUUAAAACAUAG
rnacentral:lncRNA from 1 species